rnacentral:hammerhead_ribozyme from 1 species
GUACCACUGAGGAGUCCCAAACUAGAACGAAACAGUUGUCCAGUAC